CCGCCGCUGACACCCAUGAGCAACCCCCAUCUUCCUCUCUAAUACAAAAUAGCCCCGUAUUCCUUUUAUCACUAGGACCCUUCAACCAAACAGUCGUUUUCUAAUUUUGAGAGGAGACCUAAUGUAUCUUCUACACAAGACCUAACCUAGAAACCCUAGGAGCCCUCUCCUUCUUUUUCCUAAGAACAAACCAGCCGCAGGACCCUAGUAAAAAAGAACCCCCAGCCUUUUACCAUCUUCUUCUGCUGAGACCAAAAAAAAGACUUAGAGCAGCUAACACACACAAAGAGAACAGCCGCAACCCCACCAAAUCUCCGUCGAACCCCCACCUCCUUCGACCACUCCAGCCACCACCAAGGCUCGCCGGAAAUUAGCCACCCACCCGAAGAGAGAACAACGAACCAGCCUUAAUCUCUAACCUUCAGCAGCCAGAACCCCCCGCCGUUCAGAACUCGAUAGACGUCCAGCUCAAUCCUCCUUGUUCCAUCGUCUUCUCCAGUGAAGAGCCUCACCCCACCUCCUUCAGAAAAUCGAACCAGCCACCCCACCAUCUCCAAGAACUCCUCUGUCACUCUCACUUCAAUAAAUCUUUCUCCAUCUCUUAACAGACGCGCACACAAAAGGGCAAAGAAAAAAACAGAACAGAGAGGGAGAGGGAUUGGACGUGACAGUGAGGGAAAAGAGAUUCAAAAAACAAAAGAACAAAAAUGGAGAUUAUCACCUGAUUUCCUGUAAAACAUUCAUUACUGAAGGUGCACCUUCUUUUUAUAUAUGAUGAUUCAACAA
rnacentral:lncRNA from 1 species